rnacentral:rRNA from 1 species
GACGAACGCUGGCGGCGUGCCUAAUACAUGCAAGUCGAGCGAAGUUUUUCUGGUGCUUGCACUAGAAAAACUUAGCGGCGAACGGGUGAGUAACACGUAAAGAACCUGCCUCAUAGACUGGGUCAACUAUUGGAAACGAUAGCUAAUACCGGAUAACAGUAUUUCUCGCAUGAGAGAUAUUUAAAAGUUGGUUAUGCUAACACUAUGAGAUGGCUUUGCGGUGCAUUAGCUAGUUGGUGGGGUAAAGGCCCACCAAGGCGACGAUGCAUAGCCGACCUGAGAGGGUGAUCGGCCACACUGGGACUGAGACACGGCCCAGACUCCUACGGGAGGCAGCAGUAGGGAAUCUUCCGCAAUGGGCGAAAGCCUGACGGAGCAACGCCGCGUGAGUGAAGAAGGAUUUCGGUUCGUAAAGCUCUGUUGUUAGGGAAGAAUGGAUAUGUAGUAACUAUACAUGUAAGAGACGGUACCUAACCAGAAAGCCACGGCUAACUACGUG